rnacentral:misc_RNA from 1 species
AUGAACUUUGGUUGAGUUGGCUUUGUUGCCCUCGAUCGUCAACACCUUGUGAAUUGUAAAAUUGUAUUUGGCAAGUGAUGCAGCAGCUCGCUGCAGAAUUUUCCCCCUCUCCCUCUUUUCCCUAGGGAAGGGAAGGGAAGCGGGAAAAGCUUGUCCCCAUUAUACCUUGAACUAUGUAAUGCAUUUAAUCCUGAACAAUAAAUUUACAGAAAUACUAAAA